CUGCCUGUCCUUCGCCUCAUAUCACACACACACACAAACACACACACACACACACACAUAUCCCAACACAAUUCCCAUACAGUGGCUCGACAUAAACACGUCUGAAGAAUUUAAUCUAUCAUCGUUUUUAAGAUGUAUUUACUACUUUUUCAAUUUCAGAAUCUACAUUGGCAUAAAUCCUUAUGGCCUUUCAGGAAAACCAGGAAAGAGUGGCAGGGAUUCCACCGAGGAAGAUGAGCAUCUUUACAUGGGUGGAUAUACUCCUCCCUGCCAUUGUGGGGCACUCAGAGGCAUCAAUACAAUGGAUCUAAUUUGAGCCAUAAAUGCUGGACUACAACAUGAAGAGGAACAGGAAAAACCUUUUCAAACAUAACAAUGCCUCACACUGUAAUUAAAAGGACCACGGUUUGGUUAAAUAAAUGUUUUCACCCUUCAUCUCUAAUUUGACGGCACAGAAAGUGUCACUACAAACUUGGCAGUUGAUGACCAACAAACAUGCAACAGCUACAGAAUCAGAUCACUUUUAUAGGA